UACGUAGGGUGCGAGCGUUAAUCGGAAUUACUGGGCGUAAAGCGUGCGUAGGCGGUUCGCUGUGUCCGCUGUGAAAGCCCCGGGCUUAACCUGGGAAUGGCAUUGGAAACUGGCGGGCUUGAGUGCGGCAGAGGGGGGUGGAAUUCCGCGUGUAGCAGUGAAAUGCGUAGAGAUGCGGAGGAACACCGAUGGCGAAGGCAGCCCCCUGGGUCGACACUGACGCUCAGGCACGAAAGCGUGGGGAGCAAACAGG
rnacentral:rRNA from 1 species